rnacentral:rRNA from 1 species
AUUGAACGCUGGCGGCAUGCUUUACACAUGCAAGUCGAGCGGUAACAGGUCUUCGGAUGCUGACGAGUGGCGAACGGGUGAGAAUGCAUCGGAACGUGCCCAGUCGUGGGGGAUAACGCAGCGAAAGCUGCGCUAAUACCGCAUACGAUCUAUGGAUGAAAGCGGGGGACGGUAAGGCCUCGCGCGAUUGGAGCGGCCGAUGUCAUAUUAGGUAGUUGGUGGGGUAAGGGCCCACCAAGCCAAAGAUCUGUAGCUGGUCUGAGAGGACGACCAGACACACUGGGACUGAGACACGGCCCAGACUCCUACGGGAGGCAGCAGUGGGGAAUUUUGGACAAUGGGCGCAAGCCUGAUCCAGCAACGCCGCGUGCAGGAAGAAGGCCUUCGGGUUGUAAACUGCUUUUGUACGGAACGAAACGGCUCUCUCUAAUACAGAGGGCUAAUGACGGUACCGUAAGAAUAAGCACCGGCUAACUACGUGCCAGCCGCCGCCGUAUAC